UACGUGAGGGGCGAACGUUGUUCGGUGUCACUGGGCUUAAAGGGCGCGUAGGUGGUUGUGUAAGUCACGUGUGAAAUCCCUCGGCUUACCCGGGGAAUUGCAUGUUAUACUGCAUGACUUGAGGAUCAGAGGGGAAUGGGGAACUCCAGGUGUAGCGGUGAAAUGCGCAGAUAUCAGGAGGAACACCGAUGGCGAAGGCAGGUCUCUGGGCUGACACUGACGCUCAUGCACGAAAGCGUGGGGAGCAAACAGG
rnacentral:rRNA from 1 species